AACUUUCAACAACGGAUCUCUUGGUUCUGGCAUCGAUGAAGAACGCAGCGAAAUGCGAUAAGUAAUGUGAAUGCAGAAUUCAGUGAAUCAUCGAAUCUUUGAAGCCACACUAGCGGCCCAUUAGUAUUCUAGGUGGGCAUGCCUGUUCGAGCGUCAUCC
rnacentral:rRNA from 1 species